GACGAACGCUGGCGGCGUGCCUAAUACAUGCAAGUCGAGCGCAGGAAACUGACGGAACUCUUCGGAGGGAAGGCAGUGGAAUGAGCGGCGGACGGGUGAGUAACACGUAAGGAACCUGCCUCAAGGAUUGGGAUAACUCCGAGAAAUCGGAGCUAAUACCGGAUAGUUCAACGGACCGCAUGGUCCGCUGAUGAAAGGCGCUCCGGCGUCACCUUGAGAUGGCCUUGCGGUGCAUUAGCUAGUUGGUGGGGUAACGGCUCACCAAGGCGACGAUGCAUAGCCGACCUGAGAGGGUGAUCGGCCACACUGGGACUGAGACACGGCCCAGACUCCUACGGGAGGCAGCAGUAGGGAAUCUUCCACAAUGGACGAAAGCCUGAUGGAGCAACGCCGCGUGAGUGAUGAAGGUUUUCGGAUCGUAAAACUCUGUUGUAAGGGAAGAACACGUACGAGAGGAAAUGCUCGUACCUUGACGGUACCUUACGAGAAAGCCACGGCUAACUACGUGCCAGCCGCCGCAGUAAUAC
rnacentral:rRNA from 1 species